CUUCUUCAGCAAAAAGAGGAGGAUUAGCAGUAGUUAGCUCAGGGCUAAUCAUCCUCAAAAAAAAAAAACCCUGAUAUUCUGCUGUAUCACCAAUCAUGCUGUGUUAUAUUUACCUGUUUAAUCUUGGUGAGAUAAGAGAGAAAGGGCAAAAAGAGAUACAGAAAGAAAAUAUGGGGAAAUCUGUCUUCAAUCUAACCAGGUGGCUAUCUGUAUACAUAUAUGUGCAUAUGUGUGCCUAUGUCUACAUAUACCUUCUUUUUGAGAAGUGACGGGGAGGAUGUGAAUGAAGACUCAGAGGUGAAACUGGAGGGAUGUCUGGGCAAUAGGAAGGAGCCUUGUUGAGCAGUAACCAGAAAUGAAGAUGGACGGCAGGCAGAAUUAGGUCUUUAGCCAGGUUUAAAGGAAACACUAUUAUUUAUUAAACAGGCAGGGUCAAAGCUUCUUGGCUGGCAGUGACUUUCCAUUGAGACGUAUAGUUUUCUCAAUCUGGAAGUGCUUGGAAGAACGCAGUAACAAUGCCAGGACAAGGCUUUUAGAUGGGAAAGAGCUACUGUACUUGUUUUAAACCAUAUGUGCUGCUGGAAGGCAAGUAAAUAAUUCUGAUUGAAAUAAAGACUAAUAAACAUCUGCAGGAUCAUAAAAUCUUUUGAGUACCACUCCAGUAUGUGCCAGGCUGACUGUGGACAUGAUGUGGACAUGAGUACAUGCAGGUCUACCCAAGUCUGUUAGAAAUGUGUGAAAAUUGCUUGGUGUGGAGCGAGUUCGGAGAAGCAUUCCUGAAGGCUGCGGUUUGGUCUCCAAAGAAUGUGGAGAGGCAUUCAGCUGCGGUGCAGCACCCAAGGUCCCACAUUCCUGGGCAACAUUUACCCGGAUACUCAGGUGACAAGUGUCUAGUUCCAGAGCACAGAACUAUUUAUUGAAUUAAACCAAUCAGUUUCUGAUCAAUUCAGAUUUUCUAGACGGUAAAGCUGAAAGUCUUUUCUGAAUAAACAGAUUUCACUGCAAGAGUUCUGGCAGAACGAGUAGUGAUAAAUAGUCUAUAAAAUCCAGAUGAUUUUGGGAAGGGACAUGUGGUAGAAAUGUGUAUUGUUAAACUUUUAAAUGUGGCUUUAAACGACACUUGGCUACCGAGGGAAGCGCUGUGUUUGUCUACCUUGACAAAACCCCAAGGAUCCUUCUGGCAGAGCAUUUGGUGAAUGCAGAGAGGUUUAAUUUAGUUCCAUAACGUGAAGUCAGAUGGGUUUUCAUGGACCAUUCAAAAGUGCAUCCCUAAGAAAACUGAGGCCCUCACCCACUUUGAGCAGAGAGAAGGAGCUGCUGUGCUGACCUUCGUCUCUGUGCUGUGCCCGUGGAGAGGCCCCCUUCCACCCUGGGGGGAAAGAACUCAAAAGCUGAAUGUGUCUCCUGUGAAAACCAUAGGGCCCUGGAGGGAACCCCUAUUCUCCUCCUGAUUGGAUGACAGGAGUGUGUAGAAAAAAACCCAUGGACAUGAAAGAGAAACUCUCUGGUGAAAACCAUAGAUCUGUGACCCAGCAAACAACUAUGGUCAGCAAACUUGAUUUUUCAAAGGCUGUCAUCUUUGCAAAGCAUGUGUGUAUGUGUGUGUGUGUAGGUUGCGGGGUGGGGGUUAUUUGGGGCAUUGCUCAGAAUUUUCCACUAACUGUCAAAUAUAAACUGUAUGCCACACCCUAGAUUGUACUCAAGAUGCUUGGCCCCAGUGGAAUAUUUGGCUGCCCUUUGGAUAAACGGCCUCUGUCUGGAAGGUGCUGAGGCACAGCGGUGUUCUAUAGAAACCGUGGGUACUCACUGAUGGGACCAAAGGAGCUUGAGUGGAAACAGGUGGGGCCUGAUCCCGAUGCUCCAGCUGGUUGGAGGUGGUAGGACAGUGACUGCAGCUUGCUCCCUGCCACCCCAAGCCCGGCAUGGCCUAUCCUGUGAUAGAGAAGUGUCUUGCCUAUCUGUAGCUCCCAUGUCGCUUAUUGCUGAAUCCCAGACACUAAGACAAAUGACAAUAUUCCUUGGUAUAUUAGGAAGAAUGGAAGUAUUUUGGUUUGUCUGGGAAAGAGACAGCAAAGAAAAGGGAGUGUUCUGUUCAUGAAAAUCUUUGAAUGUCAUGCCUAAGUAUUUGGAUUUUAAUCCAUUGCCAGUUGGGAGCAAAUAAAAAUGUUUAUAGCAGGGAGCGACAUCACCAAGUCACUGUUUUUGUAAAGAUCAUCUGGUAGCAGUUCGGGAGAAUAUUGCCACAAUUGACGUCAAGAUGGAAGGCCCUGAGGCAGGGGGAGUGACGAUGGAGAUGAGGAGACAUAUUUGAGAGAUGUUCCUUUAGGAAGUUAGUAGAAUGUUUCAGGAAGCUUAACUAAACUGAGUAUAGCCUUGAGAAUAAUUUUUUUAUUGAAUUGACAUUGAAAAUCAACCUUGGGUAGAAAAGCUAACUAAUUUUAGAUGUACAAAUCUUUUAUUCAGUUUUAAAGGCAGUAGCGUUGGGAGAAAGUUUUUCCAUUAUGAAAAAAAAGAGAUGAUCAAAUCAAGCGGAAAUGAAAUGACAUCUAUUUUCACUCUGCUGGGACCAAGCUCUUUUCAUAAAAGGCUUGCAGGCUGACCUGCAGGUCUAAGCCCCACGAUCCGCCUGGACAGCCUCAGAGGACCCAGCACGUAUGUGAAAAGUCAACGCCUACUUAAGUGCCCAUUGUUUUAACGCUCCACCCAGAAGGUAGUGUCCUGACUCGUAUGAUUUGUACAGCUCUGUUGACUGCUGGGAGGAAACAGAGUGAAUGAUUAACCUUGGGUCGCAGAGAAACUUUUAGGCUGCAUUCGUUUGCAAGAGUUUAAGAUAAUUAACACAUAAGUAUAAUUUAAAUAUCAGGGGGUAAAGUGGGCUGUGGGCUCUGGAGUCAGAAUGCCUGCCUUCGAAUUCCAGUCCUACCCCUUCCUGGCUGUGGAAUAUUGGACAAGUCACCGAGCACCUGGAAACCUCACUUUCCUCACUGGAGGAGACAGGAGGGAAUGUGGGAUAAAACAGCUGUGGAAGAUAAAGUACACGUUGGAAGACUCGCCCCUUGAUCAUCGCCACACAACGGGUGCCAGAGUCAUUACUGUGAUGGCUUAGAGACAUCCGUCAUGAACACUUUAAUCCUUUGAUGGCAGUGAAGACCGAGCUAGCACCCUCAGCACUCCUUUCUGUCACGGCGAAUCUGUAUCAGGAGUAGUUUGCUGAGCCUGAAAAACAGCUUUUGAGAAGAACUUUGGAAAACCACAGCCGUGCACAAGAAAGGGUUCAGGAGACUGAGGGGCCUUGGGAUAUGUCUUUGUUGGAAAGGUUGAAGGAAUCAGUGAGAAAGGAGACUUAAGGCGUCUGACAGCUGUCUUCAGAUACUUGAAGUUGAGGAAGAAGAAAGAGAUUUAUUCCGUGUUUUCCAAGGUUGGAGCUAAGGGAAAAAAUGUUGGCCCAUUAGGCAGGAAAAUGUUGGCUUAGUAGAGGCGAGAACUUACAGCUGUUCAAAGUGGAGAACGUUACAAACCUACCAACCAAUGCACCAAACAGACACGCUGCCCUGGGGGCCCUUCGGGGGCUCGGCACAGCCCGAGUGGCUGCUGGAUGGGGGACCCUGGAAGGCACUGAUGCUUGCACUCGGGGCCUUGAACAUGCUCCUUUAAGGGCAAGAAUGUAUGACUACAGAGAUUAUGUUUGAGCCCUUAUUCUCUGUUUACUGAUUGGGAAACUGAAGAGAGGAAAAUUAAAGAACUUGCAAAAACCG